rnacentral:antisense_RNA from 1 species
GACGGCUGCUCCCCUGCUUUCCUCCCGCCACACGCGCUCCCUGUGGUUCUGGUAGCGAAGGGCGAGACUGGGCUCGCCAGGCGGAAGUGGUUGGAGACUGCGUGUUUUCCUAGAAAGUCCUCGACCUUCGUCGGGGAGAGGAGGGGAGUGAUAAAUUGGAAGGCGGACAAGCGACAAGUGCAGUACUGGAAAGACCCAGACAUACUUGGUUGUGACCUCAGGACUCAAUAAAAUAAACAGCUGGAAAUAAGCAGACUACUGUAAGAGUGAAUUGAAAAGAAAACCCAAGGUCACAUCUCCCAAGAAGCAGUAAUGUUCCAGCAAUAAGAAAAGGACAGUUUUUUCUCUUUUGCAUGGUGAGCCUUAUAUGAAUUACAUCAAUUUUGUCACCAAUAUCCAUCAUCAGAACAUUUUGCCUACUCACUGUGAAGACAAUGAGGAUGAAGACCUUUAUGACAAUCCACUUCCACUUAAUGAAUAAUGAGGAAACUGGGGCACAGAAAAAUUAAGUGACUUGUCCAGGAGGACAGGGCCAAUAACAGGUGGAACCAUAAGAAAAAAUCCAUUAACAGCUUUGAAAAAGAAAGAUAACAAUUACAUGUGUGUACAGCGUCCAAGGGAACCAUUAGCAAUGGAGCUCCCCAGGCUCCUGGGAGGACCAAGCACAUGGUCCAACCAACCGUCUUCUGAAAAGGUAGCGGUGGGCAGUGGAAGGCAAAAAGAAUGGCUGCACUUGUGUUUCUGAAGGUCAGACCAAGAA